rnacentral:rRNA from 1 species
GAUGAACGCUGGCGGCGUGCCUAAUACAUGCAAGUCGAACGUCACAGCGAAAGGUGCUUGCACCUUUCAAGUGAGUGGCGAACGGGUGAGUAACACGUGGACAACCUGCCUCAAGGCUGGGGAUAACAUUUGGAAACAGAUGCUAAUACCGAAUAAAACUCAGUGUCGCAUGACACAAAGUUAAAAGGCGGCUUUGGCGUCACCUAGAGAUGGAUCCGCGGG